rnacentral:rRNA from 1 species
UACUCCUACGGGAGGCAGCAGUAGGGAAUCUUCCACAAUGGACGAAAGUCUGAUGGAGCAACGCCGCGUGAGUGAAGAAGGUUUUCGGAUCGUAAAACUCUGUUGUUGGAGAAGAACGUAUUUGAUAGUAACUGAUCAGGUAGUGACGGUAUCCAACCAGAAAGCCACGGCUAACUACGUGCCAGCAGCCGCGGUAAUAA